UACAGAGGUCUCAAGCGUUGUUCGGAUUCAUUGGGCGUAAAGGGUGCGUAGGCGGCGCGGUAAGUCGGAUGUGAAAGCUCGGAGCUCAACUCCGAAAUGGCAUUGGAAACUACCUUGCUCGAGGGUUGGAGGGGGGACUGGAAUGCUUGGUGUAGCAGUGAAAUGCGUAGAUAUCAAGCGGAACACCAGUGGCGAAGGCGAGUCCCUGGACAACUCCUGACACUGAGGCACGAAAGCUAGGGGAGCAAACAGG
rnacentral:rRNA from 1 species